rnacentral:rRNA from 1 species
UACGGAGGAUCCAAGCGUUAUCCGGAUUUAUUGGGUUUAAAGGGUGCGUAGGCGGAUUGAUAAGUUAGAGGUGAAAUGUCCGAGCUCAACUCGGGAACUGCCUCUAAUACUGUUGAUCUAGAGAGUAGAUGCGGUAGGCGGAAUGUAUGGUGUAGCGGUGAAAUGCUUAGAGAUCAUACAGAACACCGAUUGCGAAGGCAGCUUACCAAUCUAUAUCUGACGUUGAGGCACGAAAGCGUGGGGAGCAAACA